GUUCACCACUUUGUUUAAGAAUGUUUCUCAAAGUAAAAUUGCAAGGAAUUUAGGCAUUUCAUCAUCUACACUCCAUAAUAUAAUCAAAAGAUCCAGAGAAUCUGGAGAAAUCUCUGCACAUAAGCGGCAAGGCCAAAAACCAACAUUGAAUGCCUGUGACCUUCGAUCCCUCAGGAGGCACUGCAUUAAAAACCGACAUCAUUAUGUAAAGGAUAUUACCACCUGGGCUCAGGAACACUUCGGAAAACCAUUGUCAGUUAACACAAUUCGUCGCUACAUCUACAAGUGCAAGAAUUAUGUUGAAUCAU